ACUUCACCAUCAACGAAGAGGAACGGAGGCACCAAAGCGCGACAUCAACGACGGUAACCUGGCGGCUUUGGACAAGGCAACGAUAACCCAGAAACGGCGGAGCUUUCACUCCCGCAACGACGGGAUCUUCGAGCUCAACGGAAGCGAAGAGGAACGGGUGGAACGAAGCAGAAGGGGGAAUUGUACUGCCUACUUUUUUUUGAACAAAUGUGUAGAGAAAGGAAACUGGUCAUUCAAACUCUGGGUUGCUGUGGGGGAUCAACAGUCAAGCCUUCAAUAUUGCUCCUUUUUAUUACAAAGAGAAGUGGAACAUUUACUAUGAACUUUUUAGCUUUUGAUUUGAGUUUAUGUUUUAGUUAUUAGCACAUGAAAAGAAAAACCGAAGUUGUUGAUGU